CUUUAUUUUCCACCCGCCAGCAUCCGUCUGUUCUGCUGGUACCCGGCACGUUUUCUCUCAGAGGGCCCAGCUGCUCCCUAACUGAACUCAGCUGUGAAACGUGAUGCUGCUUUCUCAGACCUGAAAAAGGCUGCACUCAAAAGCUGGGUUACGUUUUUCCAAGCUGCUUGAGCUGCCAACCACUGCUCUAAAGCAACAGAGGAGCACGGAGUGCUGGUUUCUCCAGGGCUGAGGAUGCCACAGAGCAUGCCAGUGAAUCCAGCUUCGUCUCACCAAAAGCUGCUGAGCUCUAGGAAUACCUGGCUGUCCUUUCUGACCCUGAUACUUGGGCUGCUCAGACACCCUCGUCUCCUCUUCCUUGUUAAUGUCCUUAAGAACUGAAGAAAUCCAAGAGCAGGCACUGAGGGAAGCCCAGGUCCAUGCUCAGCAGCCGCUGCCUGCACAAGGAGGGCUGGCACAGCCUCGUGCACAUGCCAGCGUGGCACCAAGAGAAGUCCCUGGAGAACGCUCCCAGCCUGUUUCCUUCAGAAACUCGGUCCGUAACACUUUCUGACACCUUUGAUUCAGCCUUUGCAAUGUAAAGGCUGGACCUGGUGUGUAGGGACAUGGUUUAGUGGGUGACAUUGGUGAUGCUUGGACCAGAUGAUCUCGAAGGCCUUUCCCAACCUUAAUGAUUCUACAUCCAAAUUUUGCUUGCAGCAUGCACACGUGCAAAAGUCCCUCUCUGCCAGCUCCUUGAAGGUCUGUUUUUGUGAGGCUUAGGCAGCAAUCUGGGGUUAGCACCUCAUCUAGCCAGCACCGCUCUAAAAGCAUAGAUCUGCUGCUGCUGCACAGAAGCAUUAAAACAUAAGACAACAGAGUCAGUUUUGAUUUAGGAUCAAUAAGCAGAUAGAAGCAGCUCUAAAUAAGUUAUGCUGGGAGUAAAAAUAGCAGAGAAUGCGAUGUAAUCCAAAACACGGCAAGAAAUCUAAGUACUUCAAAUGCCCAGUCAAUUAAUUUGCUUUCAUAAUACAAUUAUUUGUAUUAUUAAGAGAAACUCAUUUUCAUGGAUGAAAUUUACUCAGACUAACAUAAUUCACAUUUCAUUCCCAGAUUCCUAUUAGAGAAAAUAGAUCUCAAGGCAGAUGGUAUGAGUCUGAAUAAGCUGUAUAAAAAUAAAGCUGAUGUCCUUGUGAGGUUAAUGACUGCUGAGGAAAAAAACAAAAGGCAUUUCUCCAGUAAGGUGCUAAACAAAAAUUACAUUUGUAAGAUAAUCCAUAAGGAGGAAAGAGAGAUUCCUGCUCUUUGCUUCUGAGCUGCUAUCAUUUGAAUAUUGUGUAGACUUAUUACAAAAUUAGCAUGUACUCAGAAAGGGUUCAGAGAAAGAUCAGAUGAAGUUAGAUAGAAAAUAACGAGAUUUACAUUGGAAAAGAAGGCGAAUAAAAAGGGCACAAUAAAAAUGUGUAAAUAGAUGUGGCGAUGUAAAAAAAAAAAAAAGUAGAUCUGGACCUCCUGCUAUCUGUGCCUCCUAAAAUGAGAGCAAGAGGUGGAAGGAGCAGAACUGGUGAAAGGAAGCACGAUGAGCACGAAGAGCGGUAUCGGUGUCACAGUAAGGCCGGGAGUUUUGGGGGGUCUGAAAGUGUUUGGCCCUUCUGGCUCCCACACAACCUCAUCGUGGUCCACACAGGCCUGGGGUCCUGCGAGGCCAUCUCCCACUCCGUAAGGGGGCACAGCCACAGCCCCCCAGCUCGCCCAGGCUGUGGGCGAUGAGGGCAGCUCCCUCCUCUACCUCAGCUUGGUGGAUGGGAUGAAUGUGAAGGGCCACCUACUGCCAACAGUGACUGCCUCUUGCUGCAUAUGUUCAACUGGUGGGUCUUCAGGCCUCAAGCUCAGGGCCUGGAGAGCUCACAGAGGCUUAAGCCAGUUGAUUCUCCCAUGAUUCACACUCCUACCUUGACAAAUUCUUCCUCCUCAUUCCCCGUUUCUGCCCCAGCACAGCAGGACUCACGCUGCUGGACAUGGUAGCACGAACUCAGCCGUGUCGGUGCUGCUGCCAGCAGCCUUCAGAGGUCACGGCA